rnacentral:rRNA from 1 species
UAUCUCUGUAGAGUCUGCAUAUCAAUAAGCGGAGGAAAAGAAACUAACUAGGAUUCCCUCAGUAACGGCGAGUGAAGCGGGAAGAGCUCAAAUUUGAAAUCUUCAAGGUUUUACCUUGACGAAUUGUAGUUUAAAGAAGUGUUUUCUGUUGGAGUUUUGGUAAAAGUUCUUUGGAAUAGGACAUCAUAGAGGGUGAGAAUCCCGUAUUUGACCAUUAUUUCCAGCUUUGUGAUACACUUUCAAAGAGUCGGAUUGUUUGGGAAUGCAGUCCAAAAUGGGUGGUAAAUUUCAUCUAAAGCUAAAUAUUGGCGAGAGACCGAUAGCGAACAAGUACCGUGAGGGAAAGAUGAAAAGAACUUUGAAAAGAGAGUUAAACAGUACGUGAAAUUGUCAAAAGGGAAGCGUUUGACACCAGUGUUGUUUUCUACGAAAAUCAAUUUAAAUGAUGGCUUGAUGCUAAGCUUUAAGACUUUAUCCGCUUGUUGUUUAGUUUUCUUGUCUUUGUGAAUGCACUUUUCAUGGAACAAGUCAACAUCAAUUUCUUCUGCUGUAAAAGGGUAAGAGGAAGGUGGCUUCGGCUUCGGUUGAAGUGUUUAUAGCCUUUUAUCUCUGCAGUCGGAGAGAUUGAGGUCUGCAGCGUAGACUCUUCGGGUUAGAUACGUCGGUGCUAAGCUAUAGCUUUUCAUAGACAACUUGUUGACUAUGUUUAGUCAUGUGGCUUACCCGCUGGCGCUAUUUUACCUACGCUUAGGAUGUUGAGUCAUCACACAUCUCU